rnacentral:lncRNA from 1 species
UUUAAAACCAUUUUACUAAUCCAAUUAUCAUACAACUAAUUAUUUGGUUACGCAUUGGGAAUCAUAUCAUGGGAACCGUUCCCACGAUUCACAACAUGUUUAUUUUAUUAAUAAGAUUAAAUUGUGGCCGGGUCACAUAUAUGUACCCCCAGAUUUUAGAAAUUAGGUGUCACUGCUACAUCACGGUAACCGUAUCCGUAGCUAAGAUAAUUAAUAUGCAGGCCAUAGUUCCUUACCUUACAAUCAAUAUCCUCAUAGUUCAAUCUAGCAAUGAUACACUUUCUUAAUUUAUUCACUACUCUAGAUCUAAGACAACCAUCAAUUUAACAGUGAUGGUAUUCGGUAUUGUUCAACAUCAUAAUACAUAUACACAUUAUGUAAUCAGCAGCUUUCCAUCACAGUCCCAAUAAAUAACAACUACAACAUCCAUACUAACUUAAACCUUGAAUAUUUUAACUUUGUGAAGUAUACUAGGGAAUAGAAUACUAAUGCCUAUACCUAACCAAAACUGAAAACAGUUAUUACAAAACCAAACAAAAUAAUAGGUGCUAAAUAAAAGAACAAGAUCUGAAAGACCAUUCCAACCUAAACAUGUUAAAAACUUCAACUUGUCAUUUCAGAGGUUGUAAAGAUACCCGGAUAUAACCAAAACAAAUAACAAAACUUUAGAAAAAGACAAUGAAACCAGCAGUGUUUAGCAGCAAUAGCACCCAGUAUAAUACAUAUUCAGAACCAAAAAUCAGCAAAGUAUUGAAUGCUCCUUUCUUUUUCAAACCCGUGAGAAUUGAAAUCAACUACUUAAUAGAAUAGUAUUCGAGACUUUUUUUAGUGUUUUCCACUUCUGAAAAUCUAUAUACGUGUCCCCUUUAUGACUGAAAGAAUGGGGCUAUUUAUUGGGCUAAAAGGGCAUGUGAUGGAUGGAUUACUAAUCAAGGAAAUAUUCACUUCAGCCUAAAAAAGUCAUCUAUAACCACCUCAGAUAGCUGGCUGUCCCUUAUUGGCUCAUCAUUUUGUGCUAACCAAAUGGGGACAACUGCCCCCCUAUUUCUAGAACAUUCCUAAGGCAGCGUUAUCCUAUUCCCCAAGUUCAUGACUCUCAAAUGACCUCCAUAAGUUUUCAUUCUAACCAAUUAACCCCCCAGAAAUUACAAAUUGAAGCAAACAAAACAAAACUCGAAUUAAAAAUAAGGAAAAACCAAACCGACCAAAAUUUUAAUUCAAUUAAGCUUUUUAACUAUACCUAAGUUCUUUUGCUCAGAUAUUAAAAUAAAAAAAGAAACAAGAAUACAAGCAGUAUUUACCAAACACUAAUCAUAAGAAAAUGCAAUUAACCAACUAAUUCAUGCAAGCUAACACAGAAGACAAGCAUGAAAACUAAACUCAAUCCAAGAAACAAACAAAAACACCAUUAACUAGCCUAGCUAAAUCAAUUUAAACUUUCUGACCUUAAUUAGUUAAACAGGAAAUUAGAAUAAAAUCAACCUAACCAAUGACGACCAUUGAAAGAAACAGAGAUGCUUGAGGAACUUUGAAUUGACACGAACAAAUAAAAGAGAAAUACUGGACAGUGAAUAAGAACACCAAAGAGAAGAAUUCUUACUAAGAAAAAUGGAGGAGAAACUAAUAGACUUGGGUUUGAAUUUUGAUAUAGCUUACAAUCAACCUCAAAUGGUUAUUCUAGUCAAGAAAGACUAUUCGGGGGUGAAUUUUGAUAUUAUCAACUUCAGAAAAAAUGAGAGGCGGCAGUCAUGUAUGGCCUAGGGCUCUUAUAACUCUGGGAUCCAGGGCUUGCCGAUUUACAAAAGGUUUGAUGAGGGAUAUCUGGUGAUUAGUGGUGAGGGAAAAACAUGUGUUGUAGGAUGUGAAUUCAUGGUGGUUUAAGUGAGUUUGGAUUUUUCGGGUUUGGUUUUCUGAUCUGAAAUUGGAGGAACUUAGCAGGGAUUUGAAGGAAAAUGUUUGAGGAUUUAGAAUAAGGAGAGGAUAAGGAUUUUAGGAUAUUAAUUUGGAUAUAUUUUUAGUGUUGUUGCCGCUAUGAUGCAAUUUCUAGCGACAAACAAGGCGGAGCCAGUGAAGGUUCCUAGGUGACUAGGGUUUGGUUUCAAUACAGGGAAAUGGCGAAAUUGGGGGGGGGGUUGAAUGGGGUGGACCAGGUUUCGGUCAUAUUUGUAUAAAACAAAUGCCCAAUUCACAGCCGUUUGGAUCACAUAAGAUCAACGGCUAUGAUGAUAAAAGCCCAAAACGGGGUUGUUUGGUAUGAGGUUGAGCUGGAAC